rnacentral:rRNA from 1 species
CAAUAGCGUAUAUUAAAGUUGUUGCAGUUAAAAAGCUCGUAGUUGGAUUUGUGGCGUACGGCGUGUUCCGGGAACUUGUUGUCUGAGUAACCUGCUGUUGCCAUCCUUGGGUGGAACCUGUGUGGCAUUAGGUUGUCGUGCAGGGGAUGCCCAUCAUUUACUGUGAAAAAAUUAGAGUGUUCAAAGCAGGCUUAUGCCGUUGAAUAUAUUAGCAUGGAAUAAUGAGAUAGGACUUUUUUGCUAUUUUGUUGGUUUGCGCAAGGAGGUAAUGAUUAAUAGGGACAGUUGGGGGUAUUCGUAUUCCAUUGUCAGAGGUGAAAUUCUUGGAUUUUUGGAAGACGAACUACUGCGAAAGCAUUUACCAAGGAUGUUUUCAUUAA